rnacentral:lncRNA from 1 species
AUCACAAUAGAAGUGACUGAUGAUGUUGGGGCCACAGUAGACCAGUUGGGAAGUAACUACUGUGUGGAGCAAAGCAACAGAAAAGCUGUCUAAGUACGGACCCACUAACAGCUGCAUAAACAGCUUUUGGGGCAUGAUCACCAUGUAGAGAAGUGAUCAUAAGCCAUUAUUGCAAGAAGGAAGAUCUCUCAUAUAAAGAAGUUCAGGAAAAAGCUCAGCUGUGUUGCACAUGCAUAGAAAGAUGGUGCUCAUUAGAACUGUAGCACAACAGAAAAGAAAGUAACGGACCAAAAUUUUACGUGAUGCAAACCAAGAAUAUUUUCCUGAGAUGCAUAAUUGUUGAGUAUGAAUGAAACAGGGAAGAUUCGUGUGAAGAUGUUUCCAAGUGAUUUAUACUGUAGAGGUAUCUGA